GAAGGUACAGCUCAGUGGUAGAGUGCAUGCUUAGCAUACACAAGGUCCUAGGUUCAAUCCCCAGUAUCUCCA
rnacentral:tRNA from 1 species